UUCGUAUCAAGCUUUAGGGUUGUUUGUUUUUGAGUCUUCAGGAAGGCAGGAGUAAUUUCUCUGCUCCACUGUUGAGAGUCUGAGAUCCUGUUACUACUCCCGGAGAGGUCCCUUUCCCUUUUCCGCGUCUUGUGCUUUACGCCCGUUUUACUCAGGCUGUUCAGACUCGCCCUCCCUCCGCCCAGGUGUGUCGCGGUUUGAUUUGGUUUUAGUUCUGGUUUUUAGGAGAAUUCCAGCGUCCGGUGAUCUUCCCGGCCCUCCUUAGCGAAUCCCUCCCCGUCUCCAUCGUCGUCCCCUGGGGACACCCGGCCUCUGGUUCAGCGGCCCCGCAUGGAACCCCCAGCGCCGGCGGGCGCCUCUUUGACUGGGGAGGCGCCUUCUUCCGCCCUCGGACUGGCCUUGUCCCAGAUUUUGCUCCAUCUUACCGGCCCGGAGUCCCGACGCGGCAAGGCCAGAAACGCAGCUCUUGAAGACCUCAGCGCUCUCCUGGAAGCCACCGAGUGUGAUCAGUUAUUUGAGGGGAAUGGCUCGUCGCUCGGUGGGAUGCCCGAGAUGCUGGGCGAGGUGGCAAAAGCCCUCGAAGAGUAUGCAGCCCCACCCAAGGAGCAGGAAGGUGGCGGUGAUGGUUCCCCUGCGGUGGCCGAGAAAGCGGCAGCAGUUGGGUUCCUGUUCAUCAGGCUGUUGAGGAAAGUUGAGUCAGCCAAGCACUCCUUGGUUUGCCAUGCCUGGAAGAGAGGCCUGCGCCGUUUGGCAGGGCCCAUCUAUGUUUUUGCCAUCACACACAGUUUGGAGCAACCGUGGACCAGGGCAAGAUCUCGGGACGUGGCUGGAGAGGUGCUCGCUUUACUGCUUCGCGUCAGCGAGUGUGGUUCUGUGGCAGGAUUCCUCCGCGGAGAAAAUGAAGACGAGAAAGGGAGAUUUGCUGUGAUAAUGGGGCUUCUUAAGCCCGAUUUGAAUAAGGAAUCAUGGAAGAAUAGCCCUGCCACCAAGCACGUUUUCUCAUGGACUCUGCAACAGGUCACUUGGCCCUGGCUGAACCAACAUCUAGAAAGGAUACUUCCCCCGUCAUUGCUCAUCUCGGAUGACUAUCAAACUGAGAACAAAGUUCUGGGUGUCCAGUGCCUCCAUCACAUUGUGCUUAAUGUGCCAGCUGCUGAUCUGCUCCAGUAUAACAGGGCCCAGGUCCUAUACCAUGCCCUUUUCAACCAUCUGUAUACACCGGAGCACCACCUCAUUCAGGCUGUGCUCCUGUGUCUGCUGGAUCUAUUUCCAGUCCUGGAGAAAGCCCUGCAGUGGAAGGGAGGUGCAGCUCGACCCACCACGCACUGUGAUGAGGUGCUGCAGCUGAUCCUGACCCACAUGGAGCCAGAGCACCGCAUUCUCUUACGCAGGACCUAUGCAGGAAGCCUCCCAGCUUUUGUGAAGAGGUUGGGGAUCCUAACUGUCCGGCACUUGAAGAGGCUGGAGCGAGUCAUCCUUGGUUACCUGGAGGUUUAUGAUGGACCAGAGGAGGAGGCUAGGUUGAAGAUACUGGAAACCCUAAAACUUCUCAUGCAGUAUACUUGGCCCAGAAUUUCCUGUAGACUUGUGGUCUUAUUGAAGGCUCUCUUGAAACUGAUAUGUGAUGUAGCAAGGGAUCCAAGCCUUACACCUGAGCCUGUUAAGAGUGCCUUGUUAGAGGCGGCCACAGACUGCCUGCUUCUCCUGGACCACUGCUCUAAAGGACAAGUGAAGGGUCUCCUGGCCAAAAUCCCCCAAAGCUGCGAAGACAGCAAGGUGGUGAGCUGUAUCAGAAAGGUGCAGCGGGUUUCUGACAGCGAGCCCUACAGUGGGACUUGAGAUCCAUAUUUCUUAAAGAGAAGAGGAUUUUCUUGUUGUAUAAGUGGAAUUAUUUGAGAAAGAAGCAUCUGAAGAGUCACUGUCUGCCUCCUGCUGUUCCAGGGCCUUGUCGAAGGCAUGGAUGGGGAAGUUGUAGAUAUCGCCAUACUGAAGGACACAAACAGACUGGUUUGCUAUACUGGGAUCUAACACUUAAGUCCACUGUCUGGCAAACAUAUUAUUUUUUCCUCAGUGAAAUGGGAAUACUUAAUUUGAUGAGUAAUAUUUCUAUAUUAUUUUCAAGCCUAGAACUGGCAGUGUCUUUUCUGACACUUAAAUAGUCAGUGGUUAAUACCAAACUGGUAACUUCUAUGAAUGAUGGAAGAAAACCACUUAAAACUUAGUAGUGUAUAAAACCCAAGGAUUAGAACAAAUGGAAAAUUUUGCUGACAAAGGGGAAAAAAAUAAAAAAAUUUAUUCAUGUUGUC